UACAGAGGGUGCGAGCGUUAAUCGGAAUUACUGGGCGUAAAGCGUGCGUAGACGGCUAUCUAAGUCGGGUGUGAAAGCCCCGGGCUCAACCUGGGAAUUGCAUUCGAGACUGAAUAGCUAGGGUACGGUAGAGGGAAGUGGAAUUUCCGGUGUAGCGGUGAAAUGCGUAGAUAUCGGAAGGAACAUCAGUGGCGAAAGCGGGUCUCUGGGCCGUAACUGACGCUGAGGAGCGAAAGCAUGGGGAGCGAACAGG
rnacentral:rRNA from 1 species